GACGAACGCUGGCGGCGUGCUUAACACAUGCAAGUCGAACGGAAAGGCCCUGCUUUUGUGGGGUGCUCGAGUGGCGAACGGGUGAGUAACACGUGAGUAACCUGCCCUUGACUUUGGGAUAACUUCAGGAAACUGGGGCUAAUACCGGAUAGGAGCUCCUGCUGCAUGGUGGGGGUUGGAAAGUUUCGGCGGUUGGGGCUGGACUCGCGGCUUAUCAGCUUGUUGGUGGGGUAGUGGCUUACCAAGGCUUUGACGGGUAGCCGGCCUGAGAGGGUGACCGGCCACAUUGGGACUGAGGUACGGCCCAGAAUCCUACGGGAGGCAGCAGUGGGGAAUAUUGCACAAUGGGCGGAAGCCUGAUGCAGCAACGCCGCGUGCGGGAUGACGGCCUUCGGGUUGUAAACCGCUUUCGCAUGUGACGAAGCGUGAGUGACGGUAAUGGGUAAAGAAGCAACGGCUAACUACGUG
rnacentral:rRNA from 1 species